ACCAUUACACUGGGGACCGGCUUCUCUGCUCUCCCGUUAUGGGGGUCGGGGGAAUGAUGGGUCAAGAGUCUUCCGAAGAAAGCGAGAAAGGAACAGGCGCCUUCAAAAGCCCACUUGGCGAUGGGUUACAGUAAGAGUUUCAGAGUGCUGGCCACACCAAAGCAUCAGCCCUGGCUCUAAACUCCGUUACACUAAGGAAUUACAAAUCCUGUGUUUGUACUCCAGGAAGUCUGCAUUAUCACGAGGAGCUUGGAAAGGAGGUAACACACUCAAUGCAAAUUUCAAGUAACUCAUCCUGGAGGCAGCUGCCUACUCUGCAGCUGUGGUUCUCCACCACAGAGAGAAGAAAAGGGAGGGAGAUGGAGUGCGCAGGUCUGAGAAGGCUUUCAUUCUGGAGCAUCUGCAGGAGCCUGCACCAUGGCCCAGUAGCACCCCUUUUUCUCCAUGAGCUGCUGGUGGGUUCCCCCCUCCCGGAUAGCGCCUCCUUCCAGAAAGAGGAUGUGGUCAGCCUGCUCCACCAGGCUGAGGUGCUGGGUGAUGAGAAGCACUGAGCGGGAGUACCGCUCAGGGCUUUCGUACAGGAGCUGCUCCACCUGAGGAAAGACAUCGGACCGUCAGAGCCGGGGACUACCCUCAGCCCAGGGAGACACCUGUGUUUCCAGGGCUGGGACUGACCUCACAGGAUCACUGCUGGCUCUGCUAACAACCCCAAGGACACCAACGCUUCCCAUUCUGAGUACUUCUCCACAAACCCUUUGUUUCAUUAAGGACUGUUUUACAUGAAGGGUGCAAAAGUAGGAUAAAAAUGAGAACCCUAGGGUGAAACACAUGACAGAAGAAUAAAGACUAUUGAAUAGUCCUCUUCUCUACCCAUGGACUUGGAAUU
rnacentral:lncRNA from 1 species